ensembl:lncRNA
UUUCUCUUCUCUGAGUCUUUACUGAAGAAGUGUUUUAGAAUAUAUUUCUUAACAGCUGGCAUUAUGCUAACUGUCCUGAGGACUCAACCACAAAGGUUCCAUCUGCUGCACUGUCCAUACCACCGUCCAGUACAACUGCAGAACCUCAGGCAUCAUCAGCCGAUGGUGCAGCCUCAAGUGUGAAGAGGAAGUCACCUGCGCCCCUCCCACAGGAGCUGGCAUUUCUACUUAAGGAGACCACAGGACCGAGUACAGAUGCUGCUUCCACAUCUGUGUGCAAAGUGCUGACUUUUGAAGACAGCAGUGAAGAUGAUCCUUCAGCUCAGCCAGCUGUUCCAGUUCCAGUGGCUGGUUAUGAGUAUGACCUCAGCAGCUGGAAUUGUUCUACUCACCAGCAGCUGUGGAUGAAGACUGAGCUUCAGGACCUUGGACUGUGGCCUGGGUCUCGACCAGUGCGUCACGCAGGGAACGCGACUUCACUCUGGCGUCUCCCUCCACAGCCUGAGCUCAUAGAUACAGUGGCUGACCUACCAUCGCCAAAUUUCUUCCAGCUCCACCCCUUCUUCAGCCUUCUUCUCCAACCUGAGAGUGUUAGUGCUAUCAUGGUCAGGUUAAGAAACAAUUAUAUCUUGCCAUGUCUCCAUGAUUGCUUUGGUUCACAAGUGGUCUCUGCUGGUGUGGGCAGGCCACGAGUAAUUGUUGGCACCAGUGGUCAGUAUUACAUCCUGUCCUCACGACUCUGCUGCAGGGCUUGUCGCAGGAACUGGUUUGCUGACAAUCCACGAUGGCUGGAGAAACUGCCCAAAAGGUUUACCAACCUUCUCCCUGCUUUUCUUACAUAUAAAAAGGCCAUCUGCAAGUCUGUUAUGGAUAAGCUCAGGAGGACUGGGAAAUCUCCAGCAGAUAUUGCAAAACAAUUAAAUGAACUCAUGCACCUCAAGUACGAGCGAGCUCACCUGGCGUACCUCCAUGCCACAGAAUCGGUCUGGGAUUCUGAGGCAGGAGCCCAUGGACAGAGGACCAUUGGGAAGUUCCUGAGGAAGGAAAAUAAGCCACAGGAGUUCAGGUCUUAUGAAGACCCACAUGCCUGGUGUGGUGUUUCUGUGUCCAGCCAUUACCUGACUGACUGCCUGCUCGACGAAUUCCGACGUCAACAUCCAGUCAUAUCCAAACUCCUCCAGGCCACAUCUUCAGGUCUGACCACACCAGGAAGGUGGCACGAAAAGUCACGCUGGCAUCUGGGGUCAUGUCCAGUUAUUACAUAAUGAAUGAAAACUGGCUGAGUGUUUCGUGGGUCAUGGUUCAGUCUGAGACAGAAAGGUCUCAGACUGAACCAUGUACCAGGGAAUGGCCAAAAGGUACAGUGAUGCAGGAGUGGAAAAGGCCGGCUACCACUGGUACCAGUGGACCCGUUCCACUGCCUGAGGCGAGUGGAGUGAACCUCUGAGCAUCAUCCUCUGUUCAGCACUUUCUGCCAGCUUCUCUCUGCUGCAUUCUCAGUGGUUGAUCAGGCGGACCUGAAGAGGCUCCAGGAUGCUUAUAAGUUUUGUGGCAUCCAUCCUGCUAAUCCCACAAAGCAACACAUAUGGGAGCACUGCAGGAUCCAAAUACCACAACCCACUGAGCUGCUGAACAGAGCGGAAAAGAUCCUGAAUCAUUUUCACCUGGCCACAGACCCCAACAAUGUCCCACUCUUCAAGCCAUCCAUGCUGAAGACGUGGUGCAUUCAGAGAGUCCACAUUCUGCGUGGCUGCCUCAGUGACCCUGAACUCUCAGAGGGUGUAAUGUUUAGGUACGGUGGGACUCUUCAGCUUAACCAUGUCCCUGGUGAAGGUGCCAAGGUCCCCAUCUGGAUUCCUGUCCGAGGCACUUCACAGCAGGAGGGUUAUCAUUUCCACCAGGCCCAGUGGAUUACCGGGACUCAUGUAUCCAAUGAACUAUUCCAAGUCCAGGGCAUGACAGGGGUGGCACGAUGGAACUACCAAAGACUGGUGGACCUUAAGCAUCCAGGUGUCAUUCUCCCUUCUGUUUUUGAUCCAGCUCUAGUGGUGGAGUUGAAUGCAGCCUCCAGAAGAGUGACUGAUCAGGAGAAGUACCCUGCACUUCACCUCUCUGACAGAGACACUGGAGAGCGAUUUGGGCUUGAACACAGAGAGCCAGGCUGCCGUCCAGUCCCUCUGAACUGGGACAAACACAAAACCCUGAGAAAAGAUGAACCGGCUGCCCUUCAGCCCCCAUCCUCUGUUCCAAAACCUGUGGCUGCCCAACUUCAGGUUCCAGCAGCAGGACCCUCCUCCAGCCUGGCACCGCUAGGUGUGGCAUCCCCCACACCAGCACCACCUGUCACCCACCCUUUCUCUGGUGCACUUUUAAAGCAGGAGUUAGCAUCAGAAGACACCCAGCAACCUACAACAGUCAUGGAAAUCUCUGAAGCUCUACCUCUGCCGAUGCGGGCCUCACCAAGGAGUGCUCGCACUGGACCUAUAAAGACAGGUGGACGGGUUUUUGUGCUGGACCACACAUGCUGGACACGACCCAUGAAAGAGGCAAUAGAUGAUCUGUUGCAAAAGUACCAUGGGAAGAAGGACAUCCUGAAGCUUGUGGAUCAAGAUUAUGCAGACAUGGUCCAUCACUCGGCUACAGAUCCCAACAGCCUGCUGCGUCCCACAUCCAAGGUGCACAUAUCCUGGUAGUUGAAGCACUUGGCUAAGCUUCUCAACACCAGUUCAUCUUUGAACAUAAGCCCAGAAAAACUACUGGAGACUCAGCAGCUGUGGCACUCUUUAACUGAAGGCAGUGAAACAACUAGUGUCCCUGUAAUCACCAUAGAGCCUGCCGCGUUUAACCCACCUCCUCCUGCCCCGUCUACACCACUGACACAAGUCUCAACAGAGAAGAUUGUGGACGGCAUCUUAGAAAGGCAACAGCAGCAGCAGCCACAGCAGCAGCCUGAGGGGAAAAAGGGCAGACAAAGACUUGUCUUGCCUGUGGACAGCCCAAGUCUCAAUGUGAGACAGAUGGAUCCACCGUCGAUUAUUUUUACCAGAGAGGGCCUGUGCGCUAUUUCUACAGUUCCCACAAGGUGCAUCAAACUUAUGCUGCUGAGGGAAUCACUAACCCUAAAAUGACCUUUGAGGAAUUUGCCCAGACAGACUUUUUCCAAAGGGAACUGGAUGCUACCAGGAAGAGGUCAGAGGAAAGGAUGGAGAAAAAGAGGAAAAGGCCAGAAACCCAACAAACAGGCCGCCUCUGCAGGUUCUGCCACAUGGACCUGAAACAGGGCCCAAAUAGCUCACAUGUUCACACAGGCUUCCCUGGAGUGGCAGGGAAAUAUAUCUACUGCCCUUCAAAAGUGCACUCUCUGCCCGGGCACAAGGGCUUGGCCAAGGGGAUGACCUGGAAGGAGUUUCAGGAGUCUCCUUUUUAUGAGGCAGAGAGACAAAGAUGGGUGGAAGAAAAGAGGAAAUAGGGGAGAAACUGUUGAUAUUGUACAUAAUAUAGUUUUGUUCUAGUUUUGUAAUGUUUAUUUUGUUUAUAUAAAUAAAAACUGAU